AGACAUUACAAAAUAGAUCGAUCCUCCAGUGAACCUUAUGACACGUCUAGAUUCAGAAGUGCAGAAUAUGAGCAAAGACACAAGCAACUAAAUAAAAAGAAGAUUGUGUGUAAAAAAGGAUUUUUCUGCUCUAAAGGGGAAGAUAAAUUCAAAAGGAGAAACGGGGGGAUACCUAGCUGACCCUGAGAGAAACAUAAAGUGUGACAUAGUGAAGAAGUUACAUUCUAAUGUGUAUCCAGCUGCAUAUGAACAAAUAAAUAUUAUUUAAUAGAUUAGAGAUUGUCAAAUCAAUUUUGACAUAGAAACAAUCAACUUAUUCAUGGGAAUCCUUU
rnacentral:lncRNA from 1 species